GAUGAACGCUGGCUACAGGCUUAACACAUGCAAGUCGAGGGGAAACGACGGGGAAGCUUGCUUCCCCGGGCGUCGACCGGCGCACGGGUGAGUAACGCGUAUCCAACCUGCCUCUGACUGAGGGAUAACCCGUCGAAAGUCGGCCUAAUACCUCAUGGCAUCGUCUGCGGGCAUCCAACGACGAUUAAAGAUUUCAUCGGUCAGGGAUGGGGAUGCGUCUGAUUAGCUUGUUGGCGGGGUAACGGCCCACCAAGGCGACGAUCAGUAGGGGUUUGAGAGGAAGGUCCCCCACAUUGGAACUGAGACACGGUCCAAACUCCUACGGGAGGCAGCAGUGAGGAAUAUUGGUCAAUGGGCGGGAGCCUGAACCAGCCAAGUAGCGUGCAGGAUGACGGCCCUAUGGGUUGUAAACCGCUUUUAUGCGGGGAUAAAGUGAGGGACGUGUCCUUCAUUGCAGGUACCGCAUGAAUAAGGACCGGCUAAUUCCGUGCCAGCAGCCGCGGUAAUACGGAAGGUCCGGGCGUUAUCCGGAUUUAUUGGGUUUAAAGGGAGCGUAGGCCGUGGAUUAAGCGUGUUGUGAAAUGCAGGUGCUCAACGUCUGCACUGCAGCGCGAACUGGUCCACUUGAGUGUGCACAACGCAGGCGGAAUUCGUCGUGUAGCGGUGAAAUGCUUAGAUAUGACGAAGAACUCCGAUUGCGAAGGCAGCUUGCGGGAGCACAACUGACGCUGAAGCUCGAAAGUGCGGGUAUCGAACAGGAUUAGAUACCCUGGUGGUCCGCACGGUAAACGAUGGAUGCCCGUUGUCAGGCUGUUUCAGCCUGGUGACCAAGCGAAAGCAUUAAGCAUCCCACCUGGGGAGUACGCCGGCAACGGUGGAACUCAAAGGAAUUGACGGGGGCCCGCACAAGCGGAGGAACAUGUGGUUUAAUUCGAUGAUACGCGAGG
rnacentral:rRNA from 1 species